rnacentral:ncRNA from 2 species
GGCUAGAGUGUGCCGGUCGGUUGCACCCCGGUCGGGGUGCGAGGGAACCCGGUGAGAGGCCGGGACUGACGCGCAGCGGUAUGGGCUGUGCGCGGGGACACAGUGCCACUGGCCACAGGCCGGGAAGGCGUCCUCGCGUGGGAGCCCGAGUCCGAAGACCUGCCGACGCUGUUCACCGUCC